UUGAGUGAAAAGAAACUUAUUGCAACAAAUUCGCAUUAAAAUAUAUCACAUUUAAAAAUAUUGCUGAAUUGCAGAAAAAUGAGGAAAAUUUUACAUUUUCUCAAACAGGGUAAGGAACUCGGUUUCUCGAAUAACUUCUGGCACAGACAUCUGGGGGCAUGGCCGUCCGAGAAGAAAAUGUAGCCAUUGGUGCCAUCUAUCGACCACAGGUUAAAGAUUGGCGAUCCGUUGGAUACCGACCGAGUUAUCGGCAAAACUUGGAGCAAAAAUGAGAAAAAUUUUACAUUUUCUCAAACAGCGUAAGGAACUCGGUUCCUCGAAUAACUUCUGACACAGACAUCUGGGGGCAUGGCCGUCCAACAAGAAAACGUAGCCAUUGGUGCCAUCUAUCGACCACAAGUUAAAGAUUGGCGAUCCGUUGGAUACCGACCGAGUUAUAGGAAAAACUUGGUGCAAAAAUGAGGAAAAUUUUACAUUUUCUCAAACAGGGUAAGGAACUCGGUUCCUCGAAUAACUUCUGGCACAGACAUCUGGGGGCAUGGCCGUCCGAGAAGAAAAUGUAGCCAUUGGUGCCAUCUAUCGACCACAGGUUAAAGAUUGGCGAUCCGUUGGAUACCGACCGAGUUAUCGGCAAAACUUGGUGCAAAAAUGAGCCGAGAAGAUAGGCGAUUUUAUAGAUUUUUUUGAUAUUUUAUUACAAUUUUUCAAUCUUUUUCAAUUUAAAGCAUUAUUUGAGUGAAAAGAAACUUAUUUCAACCAAUUGGCAUUAAAAUAAAUCAAUUUAAUUUUUUUUGCAAAAUUUCUCAAAAAAAACGUAAGGGGUACCCCUUAUGAAAUUUUCGAGUGGAAAUUUUUUUUGAAAUUUUUUUCUGAUUUUUUAUUCUUUUUUUAAUUUAAAGCAUUAUUUGAGUGAAAAGAAACUUAUUGCAACAAAUUCGCAUUAAAAUAUAUCACAUUUAAAAUUUUGCUGAAUUGCAGAAAAAUGAGGAAAAUUUUACAUUUUCUCAAACAGCGUAAGGAACUCGGUUCCUCGAAUAACUUCUGGCACAGACAUCUGGGGGCAUGGUCGUCCAACAAGAAAA